rnacentral:rRNA from 1 species
AUUGAACGCUGGCGGCAGGCCUAACACAUGCAAGUCGAGCGGAUGAAGGGAGCUUGCUCCUGGAUUCAGCGGCGGACGGGUGAGUAAUGCAUAGGAAUCUGCCCGGCAGUGGGGGCUAACGUCCGGUAAGGAGCGCUAAUAUAGCAUACGUCAUGAGGGAGAAAGUGGGGGAUCUUUGGACCACACGCUAUCAGAUGAGCCUAGGUCGGAUUAGCUAGUUGGUGGGGUAAAGGCCUACCAAGGCGACGAUCCGUAACUGGUCUGAGAGGAUGAUCAGUCACACUGGAACUGAGACACGGUCCAGACUCCUACGGGAGGCAGCAGUGGGGAAUAUUGGACAAUGGGCGAAAGCCUGAUCCAGCCAUGCCGCGUGUGUGAAGAAGGUCUUCGGAUUGUAAAGCACUUUAAGUUGGGAAGAAGGGCAGUGAGUGAAUACCUUGCUGUUUUGACGUUACCAACAGAGUAAGCACCGGCUAACUUCGUG